GACGAACGCUGGCGGCGUGCCUAAUACAUGCAAGUCGAGCGGACGAAUCGAAAGCUUGCUUUUGAUUCGUUAGCGGCGGACGGGUGAGUAACACGUGGGCAACCUGCCCUGUAGACGGGGAUAACACCGAGAAAUCGGUGCUAAUCCCGGAUAACACGAAAUGUCGCAUGACGUUUCGUUGAACGACUGCGCCAGCUGUCGCUACAGGAUGGGCCCGCGGCGCAUUAGCUAGUUGGUGAGGUAACGGCUCACCAAGGCGACGAUGCGUAGCCGACCUGAGAGGGUGAUCGGCCACACUGGGACUGAGACGCGGCCCAGACUCCUACGGGAGGCAGCAGUAGGGAAUCUUCCGCAAUGGACGAAAGUCUGACGGAGCAACGCCGCGUGAGCGAAGAAGGCCUUCGGGUCGUAAAGCUCUGUUGUUAGGGAAGAACAAGUAACGCAGUAACUGGCGUUACCGUGACGGUACCUAACGAGAAAGCCACGGCUAACUACGUGCCAGCCGCCGCCGUAA
rnacentral:rRNA from 1 species